GAGCUCAUCAAACCCUUUGUUUUUCAGAAGCUUAAAAGCUGCAUAAUAGCAUUUUUCAAACGUUUGUUUCAAACAAUAUUUCAUCUGCUAAACAGUUUCUUGGACAUUUGUGAUAUUUGAAAGAUUUUUGUUCAUUCACAGAGUCAUAAAUUACUUACUUUUAUUCCAAGGAUUAAAAAGUAUGUAAAUACUGGCAGGAACUUGAAAUGUUGAAUAAUGGUUCCUUCCAGAAACAAUGGAUCUUGUUUCUAUUGAUAACUUCCAUUCUCCAAUAAUUGUGUUAAUUGCUGGUGUAAUCUCAAGAGUUGCUGAUUUGGUCUCCCAUGAAAGUAUGGAGACUUCCCAUGGUCGUGAUAAGGGAUUGAUUUCAUUCAUAUUUUCAUCGCCAACAGGCCUUACAAGUUUAUAAAAGAUUGUCCAUUUCGAACCAAAUCAUGAUUAAUGGAAAUAUGAAAGUGAAAUGAAUUCUACAGGGCUGAUAUCAUUAAGCAUACCGAACAGAUCAGCUCACCUUUUGACCAGAGCAUAAACCUGAUCACUCAACUUUGAGAUCAUUUGGCGUGUAACUGAAUGGACAAAGUAGAUAGCAAUCUGCAUUAUCAUCGUUCUUACAUUCUAUUGAAUAUUCAUUUUCAAGAAAUGCUGGCGACAGCGUGGUCUUAAAGACACAAGAGAUUUUCUCAUAAUUUACAAUUACAAGGUUGAUUGGACUCUUGAUUCCUGCCGAGAUCUGUUUAUUUUAAAUUUAUACCAAUUUAAGAUAGAUUAAUGAAUAACCCUUAAAUUUAAAUUUAUUUCUGCCUGUAAAGACUGAACUUCCGUUGAAUUGUCCAUUAACUGAGCUUUUGCUUUACAUUUUCAGAUCAUUUGUUCAAAUUUCGAUUAAUCCUGGACGAAAUUAAAUAAGAGUAGAUGAACAAUAAUCCGACUCAGCCUUUUCAGCACCAGAUAAUGAGCCACAAUCAAAUUACAAAGAGUACGUGUUAACAUCAUUUGCUAUUGUUUAAAUUGAAUCUUUUGUGAAACGCAAAUGAAAACGUUUUUACCAUUCUUUACACACAAACAAUUGAAUUGUCCUGAGUCUGUGACUUUCUUAAUUUGUCCAACUCUAAAUUCAUCUUUUAUCUUGAUUGUACUUGCAUAUCGUGACAUUUUAUCUGAAUGAAGUGUAUUAGCUUAGUGGUUAGCCUCAUGUUCUUGUUGGUAACCUGAGUUCGUCUCCGCUUGUGAACAUAUUAAACGUUUUUAAUUGAUACUA